rnacentral:rRNA from 1 species
GGACCCUAGAGCGGCGAACGGGUGAGUAACGCGUACGAAACCUACCUUUAAGAGAGGAAUAGCCCUGGGAAACUGGGAGUAAUGCCUCAUAGUAUUCAUUUACCACAUGGUUUAAGGAUUAAAGCUACGGCGCUUAAAGAUGGUCGUGCGUCUGAUUAGCUAGUUGGUAGGGUAACGGCCUACCAAGGCUACGAUCAGUAGGGGGCGUGAGAGCGUGGCCCCCCACACGGGUACUGAGACACGGACCCGACUCCUACGGGAGGCAGCAGUAAGGAAUAUUGGGCAAUGGACGCAAGUCUGACCCAGCCAUCCCGCGUGCAGGACGAAUGCCCUAUGGGUUGUAAACUGCUUUUGUUUGGGAAGAAAUGUAUUCUUUUAAGAGUAUUUGACGGUACCAGACGAAUAAGCACCGGCUAACUCCGUGCCAGCAGCCGCGGUAAUACGGAGGGCGCAAGCGUUAUCCGGAAUCACUGGGUUUAAAGGGUGCGUAGGCGGCCAGAUAAGUCAGAGGUGAAAGUUUCCGGCUCAACCGGGAGAUUGCCUUUGAUACUGUUUGGCUUGAAUCAGAUUGAGGUUGGCGGAAUGUGACAUGUAGCGGUGAAAUGCAUAGAUAUGUCAUAGAACAUCGAUUGCGAAGGCAGCUGGCUGGAUCUGUAUUGACGCUGAGGCACGAAAGCGUGGGGAGCAAACAGGAUUAGAU